UCCUACGGGAGGCAGCAGUGAGGAAUAUUGGUCAAUGGUCGGGAGACUGAACCAGCCAAGCCGCGUGAGGGAUGAAGGUACAGAGUAUCGUAAACCUCUUUUGUCAGGGAACAAAGGCGGGGACGCGUCCCCGGAUGAGUGUACCUGAAGAAAAAGCAUCGGCUAACUCCGUGCUAGCAGCCGCGGUAAUACGGAGGAUGCGAGCGUUAUCCGGAUUUAUUGGGUUUAAAGGGUGCGCAGGCGGUCUGUUAAGUCAGCGGUCAAAGCCCGGGGCUCAACCCCGGCCCGCCGUUGAAACUGGCAGG
rnacentral:rRNA from 1 species